UACGUAGGGGGCGAGCGUUUGUCCGGAAUCAUUGGGCGUAAAGAGCGUGUAGGUGGCUUGGAAAGUCUUACGUGAAAGCCUGCGGCUCAACCGCAGAAGUGCGUAGGAAACUACCUCGCUAGAGUCCGGAAGAGGAGAGCGGAAUUCCUGGUGUAGCGGUGGAAUGCGUAGAUAUCAGGAGGAACACCGGUGGCGAAGGCGGUCAUCUGGCCCGGUACUGACGCUCAGGCACGAAAGUGUGGGUAGCAAACAGG
rnacentral:rRNA from 1 species